UUCUCCUGGAAAAAAGGGUGGUAAUGCCGGAUGCUCCAGUUGAUCGCAUGGUCUUCUGGGAAAGCUUUCGCGGUAUGGGAUGGGGUCGCGUCCUAUCAGCUUGACGGCGGGGUAACGGCCCACCGUGGCUUCGACGGGUAGCCGGCCUGAGAGGGCGACCGGCCACAUUGGGACUGAGAUACGGCCCAGACUCCUACGGGAGGCAGCAGUGGGGAAUAUUGCACAAUGGGCGCAAGCCUGAUGCAGCGACGCCGCGUGAGGGAUGGAGGCCUUCGGGUUGUAAACCUCUUUUAUCGGGGAGCAAGCGAGAGUGAGUUUACCCGUUGAAUAAGCACCGGCUAACUACGUGCCAGCAGCCGCGGUAAUACGUAGGGUGCAAGCGUUAUCCGGAAUUAUUGGGCGUAAAGGGCUCGUAGGCGGUUCGUCGCGUCCGGUGUGAAAGUCCAUCGCUUAACGGUGGAUCCGCGCCGGGUACGGGCGGGCUUGAGUGCGGUAGGGGAGACUGGAAUUCCCGGUGUAACGGUGGAAUGUGUAGAUAUCGAAAAAGAACACC
rnacentral:rRNA from 1 species